rnacentral:rRNA from 1 species
UACGUAGGGGGCGAGCGUUGUCCGGAAUUAUUGGGCGUAAAGAGCUCGUAGGCGGUGUGUCACGUCGGCCGUGAAAACCUGGGGCUUAACUCUGGGCGUGCGGUCGAUACGGGCAUCACUAGAGUUCGGCAGGGGAGACUGGAAUUCCUGGUGUAGCGGUGAAAUGCGCAGAUAUCAGGAGGAACACCGGUGGCGAAGGCGGGUCUCUGGGCCGAUACUGACGCUGAGGAGCGAAAGCGUGGGGAGCGAACAGG